AGCGAACGCUGGCGGCAGGCUUAACACAUGCAAGUCGAGCGGGCGUAGCAAUACGUCAGCGGCAGACGGGUGAGUAACGCGUGGGAACAUACCUUUUGGUUCGGAACAACACAGGGAAACUUGUGCUAAUACCGGAUAAGCCCUUACGGGGAAAGAUUUAUCGCCGAAAGAUUGGCCCGCGUCUGAUUAGCUAGUUGGUGAGGUAACGGCUCACCAAGGCGACGAUCAGUAGCUGGUCUGAGAGGAUGAUCAGCCACAUUGGGACUGAGACACGGCCCAAACUCCUACGGGAGGCAGCAGUGGGGAAUAUUGGACAAUGGGCGCAAGCCUGAUCCAGCCAUGCCGCGUGAGUGAUGAAGGCCCUAGGGUUGUAAAGCUCUUUUGUGCGGGAAGAUAAUGACGGUACCGCAAGAAUAAGCCCCGGCUAACUUCGUGCCAGCAGCCGCGGUAAUACGAAGGGGGCUAGCGUUGCUCGGAAUCACUGGGCGUAAAGGGUGCGUAGGCGGGUCUUUAAGUCAGGGGUGAAAUCCUGGAGCUCAACUCCAGAACUGCCUUUGAUACUGAGGAUCUUGAGUUCGGGAGAGGUGAGUGGAACUGCGAGUGUAGAGGUGAAAUUCGUAGAUAUUCGCAAGAACACCAGUGGCGAAGGCGGCUCACUGGCCCGAUACUGACGCUGAGGCACGAAAGCGUGGGGAGCAAACAGGAUUAGAUACCCUGGUAGUCCACGCCGUAACGAUGAAUGCCAGCCGUUAGU
rnacentral:rRNA from 1 species